GACGAACCGUGCGAACGUUGUUCGGAUUCACUGGGCUUAAAGGGCGCGUAGGCGGGCGGUCAAGCCGGGGGUGAAAUCUUUCAGCUUAACUGGAAAAGUGCCUCCGAUACUGAUCGCCUCGAGGGAGGUAGGGGCAUGUGGAACUUCCGGUGGAGCGGUGAAAUGCGUAGAUAUCGGAAGGAACGCCGGUGGCGAAAGCGACGUGCUGGACCUCUUCUGACGCUGAGGCGCGAAAGCUAGGGGAGCAAACGGG
rnacentral:rRNA from 1 species